GAGCUAGGGUUGGGUCCAAUGGGUUGCCUAGAGGUUGGGGAUGAAGUGGUGUGAAGAUGGUGGCCGGAGGUGGCGCGACGGCGACGCUGGAGCGAAAGUGACACCGCGGCUUGAAAGGUUGGUGGUGGUUAACGGCGGCGAGGUAGGGCCUAGGG